CCGCUCUCUUACGCGUCAGAGCGCCGCCUAGGUUCUGCCUCCACACCUUAGCCGCCACGAGUCAGCCGCACGAUGCGAGCUCUCCACCGACGGCCGCAUACAACUGGCGAAGUUUCUCUCUGCCUCCCAGCCACGAAGCCAUCCGAGCUCUUUCCGUCCUAUGACAUUCAUGACCAUCAGGCACACGACACAAAUUACGCCUUUUAUUCCUGCAAAAUCGCCAUCACGCCUGGCACACACCUACAUCACGGCUGCGAUGCGCGAAGCUGUCCUCCGCGCGAGUUUCCCGGCGCCGCUGCCACGAUCCUGCACGUUGCCAGCCGCCACGAGCCUUCACACGAGGCCGCCGCCCUGCGCCGGCAGGCCGCCAUGCGAGCCUGCUCGCCGCCACAUGCCUUGACUAGCCGACCUGAGCAGAGACCACGGCGGCUGAUGGCGGCUUUUUCCGCUCCGUUCUGGACCUCCAACGACACGCCUCCGAUGACGAAAACUUCAUUCUCCCGGGGGUCUCGGGUCUCGAAUCAACACUGAUGUUGCUAAUGCUAAAUCGAUAGGUUCAGAAUAUCAUUCUACAAUAUUGUUGCUAAAUGCUCCAACUUCUAUGCGUGUAAUUCAAUAAUUUAGCAGCAUCUGCUAUUAAUGGGAGGAGGUAUUGUUUAAUAUCAGUUACUUUCUGGGACGGAGAAAACAAAAAAAAUUGUAUGUCAUCUUCCAAACACACUCCAUUUCAGUAACCAAUGGGCAAAACUAAGGUAAUUAACAACAACCGCUGCAUUGAAUAUUAUCUUUAUUACUUUAUAUAUAAUUUAUAUAGAUCAUAAACCGUAUAAUGUGUGCUGGCAAGAGGUACGAAUUCAUAAACAUAAGAAUAUUGUUGAUCAUUUCUUGAUUUUCAAGUACUCGUGUAGAGUGAAACUGUGAACACACAAAUGUGUUAGCUGUGCUGCACCAUUUAUUUUGUGAACGUGUUUCAAUCCAGUGACUUAUUCUUCAAUGGGGGAUGUUUUUUUUAAACUGAAAUAAUCUACAUUUCAUUUCAUUGAACUGUAAGAUAUUCUCCAGUGGUGGAGAGGGGAGGAGGUCAGACCGGCAGCAACGCUCAUGAGAACAGUGAGCAACGAGGCGCCAGAUCUUGAUGGUAUAGAGCACGCGGAAGAAGCGGCCUUUCAGCAUGGAAGCUCGGUGGCGGAUGCGGAGGCCACCGACUUGGUCGCUGCAUUUGGUGCACGUAGUUUUCCACUGCUGCUUGACUUGAGUGGAUGGAUAAAGCGAUGUGGGGAAUUUUGCAUGAGGUCGUCAAUGGUUGCUCCAGCUGCUGGAAUUUAGCCUGAUUUCUGCCACCUACAGAACUAAUCCAAUACCAACCACACAGAUCCAUAUUGCUUAUUGAUGAAUUGGUUAGUUCACUCGAGAUUUCGGGACAAGAUCAGGGUGAGGUUUCAUCUAAAAAAGGAUCAGGGCGAGGUGCAGGUUUCUGUAUCCAAAUGGUCUCCUCCUGAAAUUAGAUAGAUGUAUGAAUACAGAUGCAGCUAUCGAUGCUAGGGGGUGGCGUGGAGGUAGAGGUGCAGACCUUCUGGCUCAGGAUCAUACUGAAAAUUUUGUUGCUGCAGGCUGCGCAAGUAUGAGUAAUGGCUUUCAGAAAGUUAUAGCAGACAAUGACUGCCAUAUGAUUCAGCGGGUGUGGAAUUCAGAAAUAAGGAGAGAUGAGUGGGAGUCCAUGUACUCCCUGAGAAGAGAAAUCACUUCACGCUUUCCAAAGAUUCAAGCUGCUGUUUGCAAAGCGUGACGCGAAAUCUGUUGCUCUUGUCUGUGCAAAUGAGAUUAUAAGCUUAGCUGUUUGCUUUACAAAUUUCGAUGUAAUCCCCUGAUUUUCUAAGUGAAUCUGUACAAUCAGAAUUGCCAGAUGGAUCAACAGCCGGUGAGGUAGUGCAGCUGUCA